rnacentral:misc_RNA from 1 species
GCAAACUUGGUCAUUUAGAGGAAGUAAAAGUCGUAACAAGGUUUCGUCGAGGAACACCCCACGGAAGCCUUGGAAUCAAGAGUCUAUUGCUGUGCAGUAGGCAACAUCUUCAUUGUGCUUGAACACCCAACCAGGGUGACAUGCAGCUGCCUUAGUGCAGUCCACAGAUCAGAUGAGGAUGGUCCAAGAAUUGGAUUAAGAGAUGACCGGCCUACUGUCAAAAUGAUAGUAGACUUUGUGUUCCGUAGGUGAACCUGCGGAAGGAUCAUUACAGAGAACCUGCCCUUUUGGGUAGAUCUCCCACCCUCUGUUAACCAUACCAUGUUGCUUUGGCAGGCCCGUCUCCUGACCACUGGCUUCGGCUGGUCUGUGCCUGCCAGAGGAUUCAAAACUCCAGAUUUUUGUGUUGUCUGAGAAUGAAGUUUAAUAGCUAAAACUUUCAACAACGGAUCUCUUGGUUCUGGCAUCGAUGAAGAACGCAGC